rnacentral:tRNA from 1 species
GCCUGGGUGGCUCAGUCGGUUGAGCAUCUGACUUCGGCUCAGGUCACGAUCUCGCGGUCCGUGAGUUUGAGCCCCGCGUCGGGCU